rnacentral:rRNA from 1 species
AUGCAAGUGUAAGUACGAGCUCGAGUACAGUGAAACUGCGAAUGGCUCAUUAAAUCAGUUAUGGUUCAUUUGAUCGUACGCUUUAAUACAUGGAUAACUGUGGCAAUUCUAGAGCUAAUACAUGCGUGAAGCACCGACCUGACGGGAGGUGUGCAUUUAUCAGACCAAAACUAACCGGGUUUCGGCCCGUUUCGAUGGUGACUCUGGAUAAGCUCGCGGAUCGCACGGUCUUGCACCGGCGACAUCUCUUUAAAGCAACUGCCCUAUCAACUAUCGUCGGUACGGUAUCGGCCUACCGAGGUUGUAACGGGUGACGGAGAAUCAGGGUUCGAUUCCGGAGAGGGAGCCUGAGAAACGGCUACCACA